rnacentral:rRNA from 1 species
GAUGAACGCUGGCGGCGUGCCUAAUACAUGCAAGUCGAGCGAACGGACGAGAAGCUUGCUUUUCUGAUGUUAGCGGCGGACGGGUGAGUAACACGUGGAUAACCUACCUAUAUGACUUGGAUAACUUCGGGAAACCGGAGCUAAUACCGGAUAAUAUUUUGAACCGCAUGGUUCAAAAGUGAAAGACGGUCUUGCUGUCACUUAUAGAUGGAUCCGCGCGGCAUUAGCUAGUUGGUAAGGUAACGGCUUACCAAGGCAACGAUGCAUAGCCGACCUGAGAGGAUGAUCGGCCACACUGGAACUGAGACACGGUCCAGACUCCUACGGGAGGCAGCAGUAGGGAAUAUUCCGCAAUGGGCGAAAGCCUGACGGAGCAACGCCGCGUGAGUGAUGAAGGUCUUCGGAUCGUAAAACUCUGUUAUUAGGGAAGAACAUAUGUGUAAGUAAAUGUGCACAUCUUGACGGUACCUAAUCAGAAAGCCACGGCUAACUACGUG